AGCAGUGUAACCUAGUGGUAAGGAGCUGGGCUCAUAACCAAAAGGUUGCUGGUUCGAUUCCCUGCUGAGGCACUGCUA